UACAGAGGGUGCAAGCGUUAAUCGGAUUUACUGGGCGUAAAGCGUGCGUAGGCGGCUCGCUAAGUCGGUUGUGAAAUCCCUGGGCUUAACCUGGGAACUGCAGUCGAUACUGUCGGGCUCGAAUCCGGAAGAGGUGAGUGGAAUUCCGUGGUGUAGCGGUGAAAUGCGCAGAUAUCAGGAGGAACACCAAUGGCGAAGGCAGCUCACUGGGACGGUAUUGACGCUGAGACGCGAAAGCGUGGGGGAGCAAACAGG
rnacentral:rRNA from 1 species